UACCGGAUAACACUUACCUCCUCCUGGGGGUUGGUUAAAAGCUCCGGCGGUGAAGGAUGAGCCCGCGGCCUAUCAGCUUGUUGGUGGGGUAAUGGCCUACCAAGGCGACGACGGGUAGCCGGCCUGAGAGGGCGACCGGCCACACUGGGACUGAGACACGGCCCAGACUCCUACGGGAGGCAGCAGUGGGGAAUAUUGCACAAUGGGCGAAAGCCUGAUGCAGCGACGCCGCGUGAGGGAUGACGGCCUUCGGGUUGUAAACCUCUUUCAGCAGGGAAGAAGCGCAAGUGACGGUACCUGCAGAAGAAGCACCGGCUAACUACGUGCCAGCAGCCGCGGUAAUACGUAGGGUGCGAGCGUUGUCCGGAAUUAUUGGGCGUAAAGAGCUCGUAGGCGGUCUGUCACGUCGGAUGUGAAAGCCCGGGGCUUAACCCCGGGUCUGCAUUCGAUACGGGCAGACUAGAGUGUGGUAGGGGAGAUCGGAAUUCCUGGUGUAGCGGUGAAAUGCGCAGAUAUCAGGAGGAACACCGGUGGCGAAGGCGGAUCUCUGGGCCAUUACUGACGCUGAGGAGCGAAAGCGUGGGGAGCGAACAGGAUUAGAUACCCUGGUAGUCCACGCCGUAAACGUUGGGAACUAGGUGUUGGCGACAUUCCACGUCGUCGGUGCCGCAGCUAACGCAUUAAGUUCCCCGCCUGGGGAGUACGGCCGCAAGGCUAAAACUCAAAGGAAUUGACGGAAUCGAAUU
rnacentral:rRNA from 1 species